rnacentral:rRNA from 1 species
UACGUAGGGGGCGAGCGUUGUCCGGAAUCAUUGGGCGUAAAGAGCGUGUAGGCGGCUUGGCAAGUCUGACGUGAAAGCCCGCGGCUCAACCGCGGUAUGUCGAUGAACUGCCUCGCUAGAGUCCGGAAGAGGAGAGCGGAAUUCCUGGUGUAGCGGUGGAAUGCGCAGAUAUCAGGAAGAACACCCGUGGCGAAGGCGGCUCUCUGGGACGGUACUGACGCUGAGGAGCGAAAGCGUGGGGAGCAAACAGG